UACGUAGGGUGCGAGCGUUGUCCGGAAUUACUGGGCGUAAAGCGUGCGUAGACGGCUAUCUAAGUCGGGUGUGAAAGCCCCGGGCUCAACCUGGGAAUUGCAUUCGAGACUGAAUAGCUAGGGUACGGUAGAGGGAAGCGGAAUUUCCGGUGUAGCGGUGAAAUGCGUAGAUAUCGGAAGGAACAUCAGUGGCGAAAGCGGCUUCCUGGACCAGUACCGACGUUCAGGCACGAAAGCGUGGGGAGCAAACAGG
rnacentral:rRNA from 1 species